UACGGGGGGGGCAAGCGUUGUUCGGAAUUACUGGGCGUAAAGGGCUCGUAGGCGGCCAACUAAGUCGGAUGUGAAAUCCCCAGGCUCAACCUGGGAACUGCAUCCGAUACUGGAUGGCUUGAAUUCGGGAGAGGGAUGCAGAAUUCCAGGUGUAGCGGUGAAAUGCGUAGAUAUCUGGAGGAAUACCGGUGGCGAAGGCGCCACUCUGGGCCGGUACUGACGCUGAGGAGCGAAAGCGUGGGUAGCAAACAGG
rnacentral:rRNA from 1 species